GUUAUGACCAGCUGUGUAGCGGAUCUAAAAAAAAUUAAAAAAGAAAAGAUGAUCAAAUGUGUAGCGGGUCUUAAAAUUUUUUUAUUAUCAUUAUGUUUUUAGGGUAUGACCAGCUGUGUAGAGGGUCUUUUGUAGGAUAUUUUCUACGACCAGCUGAGUAGCGGGUCUUGUGUAUGGUAUUUCAAAUUUUCAUUUUAUGACCAGCUGUGUAGCGGGUCUAACUCUCUCUUAUGAUAUGACCAGCUGUGUAGCGGGUCAAUUCUUUGUUUUACUCGAGGACUAGCAAAAUAUAAGUGUAAGGGUGUUGAUAAGCACGUAAUUUCUAUAUUUUAUACCCAUAUUUAUAUUAGCUAGAACUCGAUAUUUUAACUAAUACUACCAUUUUAGUGCUUUUGUAAAAAAUACACACAAAUCCAGUUUCUGAAAGAAUAAGCAGCUAAAUGAACAACUAAAUGGUGUUUGCGGACAAAAUUCACGGAAUAUAGGUGGCCUGGUAUUUUAUAUAUCAGCACCAAAAGGAGACAGAGGUUAUGAACCAGAAUGGGGGAUUGUGUAUCGACUACUUCACCUAGUCGCAUCACUCAUUCAUUCAACAUAGGAAUUUCUUAGAUUGCCAAGCACGUGAGCGCACCAGCAGUUAUGGACACGACGUGGCAUCUCAAGGCUGAAGAAAGCACGUGAGGCCACCAGCAUUAUCUCGUUUCUUAAUAAAACAGAAGAAAGCAUUUCGUGCUCUUAUCGAAACACAUUUCAAGCAGCUGAAGUUCUUAGCAGAUAAAUGAAAUUGGAAUCUUAAGGCUUGAUACAGUGGAGUUGCCAUACAGUCGAUGAUGUUCACAGCAACAACAAUGGUAUUUGGGGCUUGCCGUGGUCGAAAAGCGGGUUGAAUCUCUGAUUGGGUUAAUGGCUGUUUUGGGAAACGGUGAACUGGUAGCUGGUGGUAAUUGUCAGAACCGGUUUGAAGUCAGUGGUGGUUGUUGAACUGAUGGUGCAGACACGAUGCAUAUGGAUUUCAGUUCACGGGACUGUACUUGAAAGAGACGAGCAUCUGAGAUGAUUGGUUAAGCUGAUUAUAAUUGGAGGCAGUUGAGGAGUAUACGCUUAUCGUGUUGGCAUGAAUGGAGAUGGAGUCGACCUGGUGGUGUUGUCGUGGUCAUGGCUGUGAAUCGAGUUCGAAUACAGAUGUCCAGAUGGCUUGCGAGAAGUGUUACUGCAGUUUGCUGUGGCUUGAACUUGGCAAGGAGCUGGUGAUGCUCGAGAAGUGUUACUGCAGUUUUGGGUUACGUAAGAAAAUGACGGCUGCCAUGAACAACCCAUGGUGAUGAAGAUCGAUGGGAGUUGUUUGUUGUGUAAUCGAUGGAGUCGGUGUGUCAGCUGGAGUUCUGAUGGACUCUACGUUUGCAGGAAGAAAGAUGGGUAUUGAACGAGAUACUUGUGCGGAGAUUUGGUUCAGCAACAUCAUGAGAAUAAGAUAACUGAAGAAAACUGUAUCCGGCCAGUUUUGGAAAGUGUUUGGACGUGGACUGAAUUUUGAAUACGGGGGUGAUGGAAGGGAUGACGUGGCGCGCUCCCAGUCGUCGGUAUUAUAUUUGUGACGCAAGGAACCAAAGAAAUAAAAAGAGAAGUCAGAUCUGAAAGAGGGGGAGGGGAGGCUGCGACUGCAGAGCCGUCUAUGACAGGAAACCAAAAAUAGGGUUUGCAGUUUGUGUUCCCCAUUUUCAUUUUGAUUAGCUAUUGAUUUAGAUUUGUUUAUGGUUUUAGGGAAAGCCAUGUCGAGCUAAUCAUGUUAUGGUGAAAGGAUGAACUUGUAGGUUGAAUUAUAUGUAUUUUUGAAUAAGGGUUUUCUACUAUUGAACUUAAUGCUAAUGUUUUGUCUCUCUA